GACGAACGCUGGCGGCGUGCUUAACACAUGCAAGUCGAACGAUGAACCCGGAGCUUGCUCUGGUGAAUUAGUGGCGAACGGGUGAGUAACACGUGAGUAACCUGCCCUUGACUCUGGGAUAACUGCGGGAAACUGUAGCUAAUACCGGAUACGACCCUCGGAGGCAUCUCCUGGGGGUGGAAAGAAUUUCGGUCAAGGAUGGACUCGCGGCCUAUCAGCUAGUUGGUGAGGUAAAGGCUCACCAAGGCGACGACGGGUAGCCGGCCUGAGAGGGUGACCGGCCACACUGGGACUGAGACACGGCCCAGACUCCUAUGGGAGGCAGCAGUGGGGAAUAUUGCACAAUGGGCGAAAGCCUGGUGCAGCAACGCCGCGUGAGUGAUGAAGGCCUUAGGGUUGUAAAGCUCUUUCGUCCGGGACGAUAAUGACGGUACCGGAAGAAGAAGCCCCGGCUAACUUCGUGCCAGCAGCCGCCGUAA
rnacentral:rRNA from 1 species